rnacentral:rRNA from 1 species
CCUACGGGAGGCAGCAGUGGGGAAUAUUGGACAAUGAGCGCAAGCCUGACCCAGCAACGCCGCGUGAAGGAAGAAGGCUUUCGGGUUGUAAACUGCUUUUCUCAGGGACGAAGCAAGUGACGGUACCUGAGGAAUAAGCCACGGCUAACUACGUGCCAGCAGCCGCGGUAAUACGUAGGUGGCAAGCGUUAUCCGGAUUUACUGGGUGUAAAGGGCGUGUAGGCGGGAAAGCAAGUCAGAUGUGAAAACCAUGGGGUCAACCUGUGGCCUGCAUUUGAAACUGUUUUUCUUGAGUACUGGAGAGGCAGACGGAAUUCCUAGUGUAGCGGUGAAAUGCGUAGAUAUUAGGAGGAACACCAGUGGCGAAGGCGGUCUGCUGGAUAGCAACUGACGCUGAGGCGCGAAAGCGUGGGGAGCAAACAGGAUUAGAUACCCCAGUAGUC